rnacentral:lncRNA from 1 species
AAGUGUCAUGGUCUCUGAACUGCCCGGAAGCUCCGCAGUCACCGACGGGACCAGAAGUGGCAUGAUAAACAAUACAAGAAAGCCCACUUGGGCACAGCCUUGAAGGCCAAUCCGUUUGGGGUGCCUCUCAUGCAAAGGGAAUUGUGCUGGAAAAAGUAGCGGUUGAGGCCAAACAGCCAAAUUCUGCUAUCCAUCAGGAAGUGUGCCAGGGUGCAGCUCAUUAAGAACGGCAAGAAGAUCACAGCGUCCGUGCGUGCCCAGUGAUGGCUGCCUGAACGUCAUUGAGGAAAAUGAAGUUCUGGUUGCUGGGUUUGGUCGAAAAGGUCAUGCUGUAGGUGAUAUUCCUGGAGCCUGCUUUAAUGUGGUUAAGGUAGCCAAUGUUUCUCUUUUGGCUCUAUACAAAGGCAAGAAAGAAAGGCCAAGAU